GUUUAUAGAGCCAAUACAUCAUGUCCACCAAUAAGUGGAAGUGAAGCAUGUUUCUUCCACACAUUGUUUGACAUGAAUGGAAUCAGAACUUCAUGGCACUUGCAGAAAAUACCCACUUAAUUUUCAAGAAGAACUCUGUAAAAGAAUGCUUAUCAACUUCUCCAGAGUAAAAAUUGGGCCUAAAUAUGAAGACUUUGCCAUUAUAUGAACACUCUUCAAUGCUUUGACUCAGUGAAGUUAAUAUCAUUGCCACCAUUCUUAAAUCUCUAAGAGCUGUCCCUAAUCUUUUCUGAAACCU
rnacentral:lncRNA from 1 species